rnacentral:rRNA from 1 species
CAGUCGCCGCGGUAAUACGGGGGGGGCAAGUGUUAUUCGGAAUGACUGGGCGUAAAGGGCACGUAGGCGGUGAAAAGGGUGGAAAGUGAAAGUCGCCAAAACACUGGCGGGGUGCUUUCUUGACCAUUUCACUUGAGUGAGAUAGGGGAGAGUGGAAUUUCGUGUGGAGGGAUCAAAUCCUAAGAUAUACGAAGGAACGCCAACCGCGAAGGCAGCUCUCUGGGUCCCCACUGACGCUGGGGUGCGAAAGCAUGGGGAGCAAACAGGAUCAGAUACCCCUGUAGUCCCUGUCUCUUAUACA